rnacentral:miRNA from 1 species
AAGUUUCCCUCAGGAUAGCUGGUGCUCUUGCACGGUAAAACCCAUGCAGUUUUAUCUGAUAAAGCAAAUGAUAUAGAGGGCUUGGGGCCGAAACAAUCACA